GCUAAAGUAGCAAAGUAAAAAUGCAGUAGAUUUAGGAUUUAUAAUCGAGGGUUUAAUUCCCUCUUUUAGUU
rnacentral:tRNA from 1 species